CGGGACGGGUGAGUAAUGUCUGGGAAACUGCCCGAUGGAGGGGGAUAACUACUGGAAACGGUAGCUAAUACCGCAUAACGUCGCAAGACCAAGAGGGGACCUUCGGGCCUCUUGCCAUCGGAUGUGCCCAGAUGGGAUUAGCUAGUAGGUGGGGUAAUGGCUCACCUAGGCGACGAUCCCUAGCUGGUCUGAGAGGAUGACCAGCCACACUGGAACUGAGACACGGUCCAG
rnacentral:rRNA from 1 species